rnacentral:tRNA from 1 species
CGGCGCAGUGGCAGGCGAUUGGCGCGGCGCGGCUCAUGUCGUCGCGGCUUGCCGUGCAUCCGGCGUGCGUCGC